rfam:Lupinus angustifolius cultivar Tanjil contig_23659, whole genome shotgun sequence.
AAAAAAGCAGUGGUCUGUUGCCUAUGUUAACUGGCCUGGCCUCUCGUAAACUUCAGGAACAUUAUCACCAUUGUUUUUGGGUGAACCUCUGUUAUUUAUUUGUGACUCAAGGUUCAGUUAAUGAUGGAACAAAA